UGACUGCGUACCUUUUGUAUAAUGGGUCAGCGACUUAUAUUCUGUAGCAAGGUUAACCGAAUAGGGGAGCCGGAGGGAAACCGAGUCUUAAUUGGGCGUUAAGUUGCAGGGUAUAGACCCGAAACCCGGUGAUCUAGCCAUGGGCAGGUUGAAGGUUGGGUAACACUAACUGGAGGACCGAACCGACUAAUGUUGAAAAAUUAGCGGAUGACCUGUGGCUGGGGGUGAAAGGCCAAUCAAACCGGGAGAUAGCUGGUUCUCCCCGAAAGCUAUUUAGGUAGCGCCUCGUGAAUUCAUCUCCGGGGGUAGAGCACUGUUUCGGCUAGGGGGCCAUCCCGGCUUACCAACCCGAUGCAAACUGCGAAUACCGGAGAAUGUUAUCACGGGAGACACACGGCGGGUGCUAACGUCCGUCGUGAAGAGGGAAACAACCCAGACCGCCAGCUAAGGUCCCAAAGUCAUGGUUAAGUGGGAAACGAUGUGGGAAGGCCCAGACAGCCAGGAUGUUGGCUUAGAAGCAGCCAUCAUUUAAAGAAAGCGUAAUAGCUCACUGGUCGAGUCGGCCUGCGCGGAAGAUGUAACGGGGCUAAACCAUGCACCGAAGCUGCGGCAGCGACACUGUGUGUUGUUGGGUAGGGGAGCGUUCUGUAAGCCUGUGAAGGUGUGUCGUGAGGCAUGCUGGAGGUAUCAGAAGUGCGAAUGCUGACAUAAGUAACGAUAAAGCGGGUGAAAAGCCCGCUCGCCGGAAGACCAAGGGUUCCUGUCCAACGUUAAUCGGGGCAGGGUGAGUCGACCCCUAAGGCGAGGCCGAAAGGCGUAGUCGAUGGGAAACGGGUUAAUAUUCCCGUACUUGGUGUUACUGCGAAGGGGGGACGGAGAAGGCUAUGUUGGCCGGGCGACGGUUGUCCCGGUUUAAGCGUGUAGGUGUGUGUUCCAGGUAAAUCCGGUUCACUUUAACACUGAGGCGUGACGACGAGGCACUACGGUGCUGAAGCAACAAAUGCCCUGCUUCCAGGAAAAGCCUCUAAGCAUCAGGUAACAUCAAAUCGUACCCCAAACCGACACAGGUGGUCAGGUAGAGAAUACCAAGGCGCUUGAGAGAACUCGGGUGAAGGAACUAGGCAAAAUGGUGCCGUAACUUCGGGAGAAGGCACGCUGACACGUAGGUGAAGUGAUUUACUCAUGGAGCUGAAGUCAGUCGAAGAUACCAGCUGGCUGCAACUGUUUAUUAAAAACACAGCACUGUGCAAACACGAAAGUGGACGUAUACGGUGUGACGCCUGCCCGGUGCCGGAAGGUUAAUUGAUGGGGUCAGCGCAAGCGAAGCUCCUGAUCGAAGCCCCGGUAAACGGCGGCCGUAACUAUAACGGUCCUAAGGUAGCGAAAUUCCUUGUCGGGUAAGUUCCGACCUGCACGAAUGGCGUAAUGAUGGCCAGGCUGUCUCCACCCGAGACUCAGUGAAAUUGAACUCGCUGUGAAGAUGCAGUGUACCCGCGGCAAGACGGAAAGACCCCGUGAACCUUUACUAUAGCUUGACACUGAACAUUGAGCCUUGAUGUGUAGGAUAGGUGGGAGGCUUUGAAGCGUGGACGCCAGUCUGCGUGGAGCCG
rnacentral:rRNA from 1 species